CUCAAAAAGAAGAAGGAUUUUUGCUGCUGACUGCAGAGGGAUGAACAUUUGCUAUCUAGUUCAAUAUAGCCCAGUUCAGGCAAUAGAAAAAAUUUGACAACCAUCAUGGAAAUAUUGUUUCCUUGGUUGUAGGAGUUGUUUCCUGGCAAAGCUCAAGCAGCAGAGGAAGGGAGUGGAAAUGUGAUGGCACGUGAUUUCUACGUUUUCUCACUUUUAGGAGAGACAGACUGAGGCAAAAUCCUGGACAGUUUGAUCAGUGUGAUACAAUACUUCUACUACAAAAAAUUCCAAGGAUAUAUGCUUUCCUAUUUUCCUCUUCCAGUGUUUUUGGACCACUGUGAUAUGUCAGCUGUGUUCAAAGCUGUGUUGGAACAUCACUUUAAAAUGCAGUUACUAACCCUGGACAUAAAUUCUGAGUUUUGUCUGGCAGGAAGACUUUAG
rnacentral:lncRNA from 1 species